GAGGAUAUAGUUCAGUAGUAGAGUGUGCGCUUAGCAUGCACAAGGUCCUGGAUUCAAUCCCUAGUACCUCCA
rnacentral:tRNA from 1 species